rnacentral:tRNA from 1 species
AAGGAAAUAAUUUAAUUGGUAAAAUAAUGGUCUCCAAAACUAUCUUUCGAGGUUCAAAUCCUCGUUUCCUUG